rnacentral:rRNA from 1 species
CCUACGGGUGGCAGCAGUGGGGAAUAUUGCACAAUGGUGGGAACCCUGAUGCAGCGACGCCGCGUGAGUGAAGAAGUAAUACGUUACGUAAAGCUCUAUCAGCCGGGAAGAAAAUAACGGUACCUGAGUAAGGAGCCCCGGCUAACUACGUGCCAGCCGCCGCGGUCAUGCGUAGGGAGCCAGCGUUAUCCGGAUUUACUGGGUGUCAAGGGAGCUUAGACGGCAGUGCACGUCUGGAGUGAAAGGCGGGGGCUCAACCCCCGGACUGCUCUGGAAACUGGACGGCUGGAGUGCAGGAGAGGUAAGCGGAAUGCGUAGUGUAGCGGUGAAAUGCGUAGAUAUCAGGAGGAACACCAGUGGCGAAGGCGGCUUACUGGACUGUAACUGACGUUGAGGCUCGAAAGCGUGGGGAGCAAACAGGAUUAGAUACCCCAGUAGUC